CCUACGGGAGGCUGCAGUCGAGAAUCAUUCACAAUGGGGGAAACCCUGAUGGUGCGACGCCGCGUGGGGGAAUGAAGGUCUUCGGAUUGUAAACCCCUGUCAUGUGGGAGCAAAUUAAAAAGAUAGUACCACAAGAGGAAGAGACGGCUAACUCUGUGCCAGCAGCCGCGGUAAUACAGAGGUCUCAAGCGUUGUUCGGAAUCACUGGGCGUAAAGCGUGCGUAGGCUGUUUCGUAAGUCGUGUGUGAAAGGCGCGGGCUCAACCCGCGGACGGCACAUGAUACUGCGAGACUAGAGUGAUGGAGGGGAAAGCGGAAUUCUCGGUGUAGCAGUGAAAUGCGUAGAUAUCGAGAGGAACACUCGUGGCGAAGGCGGGUUCCUGGACAUUAACUGACGCUGAUGCACGAAGGCCAGGGGAGCGAAAGGGAUUAGAUACCCUUGUAGUC
rnacentral:rRNA from 1 species